GUGGGGAAUAUUGGACAAUGGGCGAAAGCCUGAUCCAGCCAUGCCGCGUGUGUGAAGAAGGUCUUCGGAUUGUAAAGCACUUUAAGUUGGGAGGAAGGGCAGUAAGUUAAUACCUUGCUGUUUUGACGUUACCAACAGAAUAAGCACCGGCUAACUUCGUGCCAGCAGCCGCGGUAAUACGAAGGGUGCAAGCGUUAAUCGGAAUUACUGGGCGUAAAGCGCGCGUAGGUGGUUCAGCAAGUUGAAGGUGAAAUCCCCGGGCUCAACCUGGGAACUGCCUCCAAAACUACUGAGCGAGAGUACGGUAGAGGGUAGUGGAAUUUCCUGUGUAGCGGUGAAAUGCGUAGAUAUAGGAAGGAACACCAGUGGCGAAGGCGACUACCUGGACUGAUACUGACACUGAGGUGCGAAAGCGUGGGGAGCAAACAGGAUUAGAUACCCUUGUAGUCC
rnacentral:rRNA from 1 species